AGCUCUGAUAGCGUAUAUUAAAGUUGUUGCAGUUAAAAAGCUCGUAGUUGGAUUUUAGAAUUUUUCGGUAUGGUUGACUAUGAUAAAUAGUAUGUACUAUAUUGAAAAUUCUUUCCUACUGGUUACUCGACUCUGUCCUUUACUGGAUGGAGUAGUAUCGCAAGGUAUCAAUUGGUGUUCUAUUGCUUUUGAUCGUAGUAAUUGGGUAAAACUAAGAAUGAAAAUCAAAGGAUCACAGUAGAAUAUCAAUUGGGGUUCCAGUUCAUUUACUUUGAGUAAAUUAGAGUGUUCAAAGCAGCUUCUUGGAGCAUUGAAUAUAUUAGCAUGGGAUAAUAAAAUAGGAUUUAAAUCUAUUAAUUGGUUUAUAGAUUAAAAUAAUGAUUAAUAGGGAUAGUUGGGGGCACUUGUAUUCAAUAGUCAGAGGUGAAAUUCUAGGAUUUAUUGAAGACAAACUUCAGCGAAAGCAUUUGCCAAGGAUGUUUUCA
rnacentral:rRNA from 1 species